rnacentral:rRNA from 1 species
AUUGAACGCUGGCGGCAGGCCUAACACAUGCAAGUCGAGCGGAGCGGCGGACGGGUGAGUAAUGCCUAGGAAUCUGCCUGGUAGUGGGGGAUAACGUCCGGAAACGGGCGCUAAUACCGCAUACUAUCAGAUGAGCCUAGGUCGGAUUAGCUAGUUGGUGGGGUAAAGGCCUACCAAGGCGACGAUCCGUAACUGGUCUGAGAGGAUGAUCAGUCAACCUGGAACGGAGACACGGUCCAGACGCCGACGGUAGGCAGCAGUGGGGAAUAGGGGGCAAUGGUGGAAAGCCUGAUCCAGCCAUGCCGCGGGUGUGAAGAAGGUCUUCGGAUUGUAAAGCACUUUAAGUUGGGAGGCGUUACCAACAGAAGAAGCACCGGCUAACUUCGUGCCAGCAGCCGCGGUAAUUC